rnacentral:misc_RNA from 1 species
GAUGAAGAACGCAGCGAAAUGCGAUAAGUAAUGUGAAUUGCAGAAUUCAGUGAAUCAUCGAAUCUUUGAACGCACAUUGCGCCCGCCAGUAUUCUGGCGGGCAUGCCUGUUCGAGCGUCAUUUCAACCAUCAAGCCCCCGGCUUGUGUUGGGGACCUGCGGCUGCCGCAGGCCCUGAAAACCAGUGGCGGGCUCGCUAGUCACUCCGAGCGUAGUAAUACAUCUCGCUCAGGGCGUGCUGCGGGUUCCGGCCGUUAAAAGCCUUAUUUACCCAAGGUUGACCUCGGAUCAGGUAGGAAGACCCGCUGAACUUAAGCAUAUAAUAAGCGGAGGA